rnacentral:rRNA from 1 species
AUUGAACGCUGGCGGCAGGCCUAACACAUGCAAGUCGAGCGGAUGAAGGGAGCUUGCUCCUGGAUUCAGCGGCGGACGGGUGAGUAAUGCCUAGGAAUCUGCCUGGUAGUGGGGGAUAACGUCCGGAAACGGGCGCUAAUACCGCAUACGUCCUGAGGGAGAAAGUGGGGGAUCUUCGGACCUCACGCUAUCAGAUGAGCCUAGGUCGGAUUAGCUAGUUGGUGGGGUAAAGGCCUACUAAGGCGACGAUCCGUAACUGGUCUGAGAGGAUGAUCAGUCACACUGGAAGGUGGACACGGUCCAGGCUCCUACGGGAGGGAGCAGUGGGGAAUAUUGGGCAGUGGGGGAAAGUCUGAUCCAGCCAGGCCGAGUGUGUUGAGAAGGUGUUCGGAUUGGAAAGCACGUUAAGGGGGGGUGAAGGGCAGUAGGUUAAUACCUUGCGGGUUUGACGGUACUGGCAGAAUAAGCACCGGCUAACUUCGUG